rnacentral:rRNA from 1 species
UACGUAGGGUGCGAGCGUUAAUCGGAAUUACUGGGCGUAAAGCGUGCGCAGGCGGCGCGUUAAGACAGGUGUGAAAGCCCCGAGCUUAACUUGGGAAUUGCGCUUGUGACUGGCGUGCUGGAGUGUGGCAGAGGGAGGUGGAAUUCCACGUGUAGCAGUGAAAUGCGCAGAUAUCAGGAGGAACACCGGUGGCGAAGGCGGGCCUCUGGGCCGAUACUGACGCUGAGGAGCGAAAGCGUGGGGAGCGAACAGG